UUAUACCAUCUCACCAGGUUUGAAAUUGCUGGUUGUGAGCACCCGAGACUGCGAGCCACAGUAUGCUGCCGUAGUCCAGCCACCAACAUGCUGAUUUACCAACGCUUGAGAGUGUGAUUACCGUGGAUUUUAUUUUUAAUUUAAAAAAACAAAUUUCAGAAAACCAAAUAAAUCAGCCAAAUUCAGUACUUAAAAGCAGAAGCAAUCUACGACCUGUCUCAGAGAGAUGAGAGAGAAAAUGGCUAUGUGCUACUGUGAGGACGUCCCUCUUCAACUUGAGGUGGGAAGGACUUCUCCUCUCAUAGCAGGGCCUUGAUAGGGCAGCUUUUCUAUAUUUGCUCAGAGAUUGAUGGUCAGAGAGGGUUUUCCUAUUCGGUAAUGGUUGUCAUUCAAAUUGAAAGGGAACGCUGGUUGAGCCGCAGGUUUAAACUUUCACAAGACAAUCCCAAUAAACUAUUGCACAUCUUAAAUACUUAUGCUUUAAUUGCAUUCCCGUCUCAAUCUAAAAUUAACUAAGUGCACCUUGGGAAAUGUGGCCCCGACAACCUCCUCGUUUAAUUUAUGAUUACCAUGAGAUUAUAAAAAAAAAAAAAAAAAAAACUAAACUAAGGCAACGUAAAAAAAUAUCAUAAAUAGUAGGUAACAAAGACAAUUGGGGUAGUAGUUAUUGCCGCACCACCUUUUGAUUUUUAUUUGGCCUCAAGAUUUGCUUGAUUGAUUCUAAAUGGUAUUAUUAAGUCAAAUAUUUACUGUAACUUACAUUUUUGGUAGUAGAAAUAUCAGUUUUGGACUUGCAUGCCAGAUCUCAAUUGUUUGGCAAUUUUGAUUUAAUUGUGUGUGUGGUCCCUGUAGCAAACAAGUUGAAUAAUUAAAGGAGAGUUAUGAAGAGGAGCUGGAGAACAUUUCUGACGUGCACAAACAUGCCAUCACAACAUGCUUAUCAGCGCGCAAUGGAAGAUGUAGAGGACAACUAUAGAUGAGUUUCUUGCUGAACAAGAAAAAGUUGCGGAGUUGGAAGAGAAAAAAUACAGAAAUGGAGUUGAAUCUAAAAGCCUUUCAGAGAAAACCCUCUGAAGCUGAAUCUAUGGAUGGUGCAAAUUCCCUACAAUCUGCCACACUUGCACACAAAUCUGGUAUUGUAUAUUUAAACAUCCCUGUGAGGGGAUUUUAUGGUGUAGUAAAUCAAACCAUUUCAGAUGGCUCCAUUUUUCAGUGUUAUGAAAUCUUAUUUGGCAAAAUUUAAUCCAUACGCUUCACUUGACCCGAGAUCAAGUGGCCCUCAUUGUGGUCAUGUGAUUUUUUUUUGUUUCUGGAUGGAGCUAACGCUUUGAGCUUCAAGAUUAGUACACAUCAUCAUAUAAUUCAAUUUUUGCCCCUGUAUUGAUUGGCAGUCAUGGGAAUUGCACGGUUCAUCUACAUCAAACAUUGUGUGUUGGAUCAUCUAAUACUGUAAAUAUUCAAAAUGUCAUGCUUUUAGGAUAAAGUGCACAAUUUACCAUAAUAUUGAGCAUAUCUGCACCUCCAAACCUGGUUUAUAGCAAUCCCCUCUAUUAUAACUUCUUUACUGCAGGUGUGUUCAUCUAUGUUAUUUUUAAGAGGUGAGAUACAAGGAACUGGGAGGCAAAUUCAUCAUCUGAAAAACUGUGAAGAAAAAGGACAGGUUAUAAAAUCUAUGGAGAAGAAGAUUAAGUCCCUGAAUUAAACCAUCCAGGAGGCUGGAGAAAAAGUGGAGGAGAAUAAGCAUCUUGAGGAGAAAAUAUCUCAACAGGUACAUCUUCAUGAACUGCAAAGCAGCUGUCUUGUGUUCUUACUCAUAGAAGGGUCAUGCAAACCUGUGGCUGGUGAAACUUGGCACCUGAAUCCUUUUUCUAUCCCUGUAACUGAGAUUGUGUAGGCGGUUGUACAUAUGUCACAUAACUGCUCAUCCAGUUGUCAUAAAACUUGGUGUUUAACAUUAUUUAGCAUGUUGUUGAAUAUCGGAUACUGUAGAUAUAUUGAGGUUGUCCGUUUUUAUUUAUCAGUCUGUCACGCUUAUAUUUUUUAAUACAUCUGGCGCUUUUUUUAUAUUAAAAAAAAAAUGGCUUCUCCUGCUGCUUAACUGAUAGGUCAUUUUCACAGGAGGAGGAAAUGAAAGAACUGCACAAAAGCUGUACUGCACAGGAAGUGUUGAUAUUAGAGCUUCGGGUACAACUUUAAAUGAGCAAAACAUGCACCCAGGGAGGCACUGGUGAACCUAAAGCUAAGAAAGGCCUACUUGCCAACUUAAGAGCCACUGUUGGCGCGCCUGCUAAACUAUUCAAGAAAUCUGUUGCUGGCAUACCAAGCCCUACCAGAAAGAGGGGCAUGUUCAAAUGCAUGUUGGUAAUAUGUGU